AUUGAACGCUGGCGGCAUGCCUUACGCAUGCAAGUCGAACGGCAGCACGGGAGCAAUCCUGGUGGCGAGUGGCGAACGGGUGAGUAAUAUAUCGGAACGUGCCCAGUAGUGGGGGAUAACUGCUCGAAAGAGCAGCUAAUACCGCAUACGACCUGAGGGUGAAAGGGGGGGAUCGCAAGACCUCUCGCUAUUGGAGCGGCCGAUAUCAGAUUAGCUAGUUGGUGGGGUAAAGGCCUACCAAGGCAACGAUCUGUAGUUGGUCUGAGAGGACGACCAGCCACACUGGGACUGAGACACGGCCCAGACUCCUACGGGAGGCAGCAGUGGGGAAUUUUGGACAAGGGGCGCAAGCCUGAUCCAGCAAUGCCGCGUGCAGGAGGGAGGCCUUCGGGUUGUAAACUGCUUUCGUCAGGGAAGAAAUCCUCUAGGUUAAUACCCUUGGGGGGAUGACGGUACCUGAAGAAUAAGCACCGGCUAACUACGUGCCAGCCGCCGCAGUAAGAC
rnacentral:rRNA from 1 species